UACGUAGGGGGCAAGCGUUGUUCGGAAUCAUUGGGCGUAAAGGGCGCGCAGGUGGCUCUGUAUGUCUGCCGUGAAAGCAUACAGCUCAACUGUAUUGUGUCGGUAGAAACUGCAGGACUUGAGGCUGGGAGGGGCUGGUGGAAUUCCCUGUGUAGCGGUGAAAUGCGUAGAGAUGGGGGAGAACACUCGUGGCGAAGGCGGCCAGCUAGACCAGUUCUGACACUGAGGCGCAACAGCGUGGGGAGCAAACAGG
rnacentral:rRNA from 1 species